rnacentral:rRNA from 1 species
UACGGGAGGCAGCAGUGGGGAAUUUUGGACAAUGGGGGAAACCCUGAUCCAGCAAUGCCGCGUGUGCGAAGAAGGCCUUCGGGUUGUAAAGCACUUUUGUCAGGGAAGAAAUCCUUUGGGCUAAUACCCUAGGGGGAUGACGGUACCUGAAGAAUAAGCACCGGCUAACUACGUGCCAGCAGCCGCGGUAAUACGUAGGGUGCAAGCGUUAAUCGGAAUUACUGGGCGUAAAGCGUGCGCAGGCGGUUGUGUAAGACAGGUGUGAAAUCCCCGGGCUUAACCUGGGAAUUGCAUUUGUGACUGCACGACUAGAGUGUGUCAGAGGGGGGUGGAAUUCCACGUGUAGCAGUGAAAUGCGUAGAUAUGUGGAGGAACACCAAUGGCGAAGGCAGCCCCCUGGGAUAACACUGACGCUCAUGCACGAAAGCGUGGGGAGCAAACAGGAUUAGAUACCCUGGUAGUCCACGCCCUAAACGAUGUCAACUAGUUGUUGGGGAUUUACUUCCUUGGUAACGUAGCUAACGCGUGAAGUUGACCGCCUGGGGAGUACGGCCGCAAGGUUAAAACUCAAAGGAAUUGACGG